rnacentral:lncRNA from 1 species
AUCCUCAGAUCUUCAUCUAGUAAUUGUGAUCUAGCAGCAUUGGUGAACCUUUUAGAGAUUCUGUGCACAAACUACACCUUCAAGCUGCCUGUGAGCCCCCAGCAUUGCCCAAGACAACAGAAGGAGGAAGUGCACAUUGGGCAGCUGGGCAGAGGAGUGGAGCAUGCAAAAAAUGAGCAGCCCUCUCCAGCACCCCAGGGCAUGGGUACCACAUCUUUGCCAACACAGUCGUAUGGUAUCUCAGUAUUACAGGCUCCCUGGAGACACAACAGUAUUGAAAUUGGGCCAAUUAAUAACCCUACAAUGACAUUUAACGUGAAUAAGAAGAAUAGAAGAGUCAAUAG